rnacentral:rRNA from 1 species
CCCCUACGGGAGGCAGCAGUUAGGGAUAUUCGUCAAUGGGGGAAACCCUGAACGAGCAAUGCCGCGUGAAUGAUGACGGUCCUUUGGAUUGUAAAAUUCUGUUGUUAGGGAAGAACGACCUAGGUAGGAAAUGACCUAGGAGUGACGGUACCUUUCAAGAAAGCUCCGGCUAACUACGUGCCAGCAGCCGCGGUAAUACGUAGGGAGCGAGCGUUAUCCGGUUUUUUUGGGUGUAACGCGUGUGUAGGCGGUUUCUUAAGUCUGUGGUCCAAGCCC